GUUGUGACAAGUGUUCGAACAUGUGAUGUCGACACUGAUGACUUCCCGAUUAAGAUAGGACUGCAUCAGGGGUUAGCUUUGAGCCCUUAUCUUUUUGCCUUGAUGAUGGAUGGGGUCACAAGGGAUAUACAAGGAGAUAUCCCAUGGCAUAUGCUCUUUGCGGAUGAUGUGGUGCUAGUUGAUGAUAGUCGAACGGGGGUAAAUAGGAAGUUAGAGUUAUGGAGACAAACCUUGAAAUCGAAAGGGUUUAGGCUUAGUAGAACUAAAACCGAGUACAUGAUGUGCGGUUUCAGUACUACUAGGUGCGAG
rnacentral:rRNA from 1 species